CCACGUUGCUACCACGGUAAGUGCUGGGGCACUCUGGUGAGACUGCCCCGGUUAACGGGGAGGAAGGUGGGGACGACGUCAAGUCAUCAUGGCCCUUACGCCUAGGGCUACACACGUACUACAAUGGCGCAUACAAAGGGCAGCGAUACCGCGAGGUGGAGCCAAUCCCAAAAAGUGCGUCCCAGUCCGGAUUGCAGUCUGCAACUCGACUGCAUGAAGUUGGAAUCGCUAGUAAUUCGAGAUCAGCAUGCUCGGGUGAAUGCGUUCCCGGGCCUU
rnacentral:rRNA from 1 species